rnacentral:rRNA from 1 species
UUAAAUUGCUGUGGUAUUUUGACUAUACGAAGGUAUUGAAAUAAGGUUUUAAUUGAAUGCUAAGAGAAUGGAUAAAUGAUUUAAAUCUUUUUUAAAAGAAAAAUUAAAAUUUUAAGUAUUAGUGAAGAUGCUAAUAUAUAAUUAUGGGACAAGAAGACCCUAUGAAUCUUAAAUAAUUUUAGUUGGGGCGACUGGAAAAGAUUUUAAAGCUUUUAUUAGAGCCAAUAAAUUGAUUGAAUGAAAAAGAUACUCUAGGGAUAACAGCGUUAUUAUUUUGGAGAGUUCUUAUUGAUAAAAUAGUUUGCGACCUCGAUGUUGAAUUAAUGGACCUAUAGUUGGAG